GGGAGGUUUGAGCACAUAGUCCUCUCUUUAAUGCCACUUCAGAUCAUGCCAUCAUUUGGAUAGAGAGAGAAGCUCAAAGGGCUCUAGAUGACAAUGAGUUGGUCCGGUUGAAGCGUGAAGCAAGGCUGAAAGGAGGAUUCUAUGUCAAGCCAGAGUCUAAGCUUUCGUUUAUCAUUCGUAUCCAUGGUAUCAAUGCCAUUGAUCCAAAGACAAAGAAGAUCUUGCAACUUUUGUGAUUGAGACAGGUACUAUAUACUCGUACCUUUGGAAAUAUUGAUGGUUACCUGCAUCUAGAAGUAUGAAAAUAAGAAUUUGUAGGUAAUGUUCAUGCAUUUUGGAUUGAAUAUAUAGCUGGUAAUGCUUUGUAGAGUUAGGAAAUUAUAUAGAUUGCUGAGAAUUUGAUUAUUAAUGUUAGUGAGCCUUUGAAUCAUUUGGAACCUGCUUGUGGCUGAGAAGUUGAAACUUUGAACUGGGGGUAUAUUUGCUAAAUGUGGUUUAUUUUUGUUAUCUGAUCGUAUUAGUUAGAAGUUUAGGUUGAAAGUGAUAGAAUUUACAUAUGAAUUGGCAUUUACUGGGCUCACUAGUUUCCAGACCCAGCGACCUGUUUCUGUAAAACUGUAAUUUUCUGUUAAUAAUUUGAAGCUAUUUUCUUCUGAGAAUUUGUAGUGGACUUGUUAAAGAGUAUUUGAGACGUGGAAACUCCUAAAAACGAUUUUUCUAUAAUUAGUUAUGAUUUUUCAAAGUUACAGGUCUGUUGCAGGAAUUUCUGAAAACAGUAUCACUGUCAUGUUCUUUCUGCAGCACUGCUAUAUUGUUGUGCUGAUUAGCUUUCCUUUGAUAGUUUAGUG